rnacentral:rRNA from 1 species
AGCAGCCGCGGUAAUUCCAGCUCCAAUAGCGUAUAUUAAAGUUGUUGCAGUUAAAAAGCUCGUAGUUGAAUUUCGGGGUUCUACCGUUGGUCGGGCUAACCAGUCUGUACUAGCGUGUAAAAUUCCUACCUUCUGGGGAACCAUCAUGUUAUUAAUUUAGCGUGGUGGGAAACCAGAACCUUUACCUUGAAAAAAUUAGAGUGUUCAAAGCAGGCUUACGUCUGAAUACAUUAGCAUGGAAUAAUAAAAUAGGACGGUGGUCCUGUUUUGUUGGUUUCUGAAUCACCGUAAUGAUUAAUAGGGAUAGUUGGGGGCAUUAGUAUUCAAUUGUCAGAGGUGAAAUUCUUGGAUUUAUUGAAGACUAACUUCUGCGAAAGCAUUUGCCAAGGAUGUUUUCAUUAAUCAAGAACGAAAGUUAAGGGGAUCGAAGACGAUCAGAUACCGUCGUAG